rnacentral:tRNA from 1 species
UCCCUGGUAGUAUAUCGGUUUAGUACACGCGCCUGUCACAACAUAAUUCCGCGCGAAAGCUGGGUUCGACUCCCAGCCAGGGAG